rnacentral:rRNA from 1 species
CGGCGAGUGAAGCGGCAACAGCUCAAAUUUGAAAUCUGGCUCUCUUUGGGGGUCCGAGUUGUAAUUUGCAGAGGAUGCUUUGGCAUUGGCGGCGGUCUAAGUUCCUUGGAACAGGACAUCACAGAGGGUGAGAAUCCCGUACGUGGUCGCCUGCCCUUGCCGUGUAAAGCUCCUUCGACGAGUCGAGUUGUUUGGGAAUGCAGCUCUAAAUGGGAGGUAAAUUUCUUCUAAAGCUAAAUACUGGCCAGAGACCGAUAGCGCACAAGUAGAGUGAUCGAAAGAUGAAAAGUACUUUGGAAAGAGAGUCAAAAAGCACGUGAAAUUGUUGAAAGGGAAGCGCUUGCAGCCAGACUUGCCCGCAGUUGCUCACCUAGGCUUUCGCCUGGGGCACUCUUCUGCGGGCAGGCCAGCAUCAGUUUGGGCGGUUGGAUAAAGGCCUCUGUCACGUAUCUCCCUUCGGGGUGACCUUAUAGGGGAGGCGCAAUGCAACCAGCCCGGACUGAGGUCCGCGCAUCUGCUAGGAUGCUGGCGUAAUGGCUGUAAGCGGCCCGUCUUGAAACACGGACCAAGGAGUCUAACAUCUAUGCGAG